UUCAUUUUAAAUAAAUGAUAGUGUCAUUGUUUUUCUCUCCACGAGCUUUAGUAUGUCAUUAGAUAUUUCAAAGGACACUAUGACAUUUAGAAUGACACUUCAACACUUCAAAUGACACUAGGAGUAUAGAAAUAACACUUCAACACAUUAAAUGACACUUCAACACUUCAAAUGACACUUCAUUGACUUGUGCUUCUUGUCCAGUCCGCUGUUGCUUUUCAGCAGCUGCACGCGUUCGCCCAUGGAUUUCUGCUUCAUGUCCAGCCCAUUAUCGCCUUUCAGCAGCUGCACAACCUGCAGAAAAACACGAGGGCAUGAAGCUGCUGAAUGCUGAUGAUGACUUGGAAAAUGUUGGUUACAAACACGACUCACCCAACUGAUUCCAUACAUUACAUACCAAGCAGGUAAAAUUAAACCUCUAAAAUUAAAGAUUCAAUUACAGUCUAAGAACGCCAUAUACACCAAUUACAGACAGAAAAGCAAGAGAGAUUGAGAGAGAGAACAGAGGGCAGACGAAAUCGAGAGUGUGAGAGAGAGAGGGUCACUUGAGAGUUAGGGCUCGAUUUGAGAUGUAGGUGUUCCACAAAAGAGAGAUGAAAAGAGAGAGAGGCGCUGCAGAGGAGGAGCAACGCCUUACGGGCGGCGAAGGUUGGAGGGGACGCGGCUAGAGAGAUAUAGGGUGUAGCGAGGCUCGACAACCAAUGAUUAGACCUGGCAACGACGUCAGCGAAUGGAGCUUGAGGAGGCAGAUCUGGACUUCGUCGAAGAGGACGGAGCUGAGGGCGGCAGUGGCUACUUCUUCGGCGAUUGGACUUUGACGAAAAAGAGGGAGGAAAGGAAGAGAGAGAGAAAGCAGUGGAGCUUUCGAGAGAGAGAGAAAGCCAGAUAAGUCAGAAACACUUUUUGUCCGGCCCAACACGCGCGCAUUCUUUGAGCGCACAAUUAUAACGACGCUCAUUUAAGUUUUUGUCUAAAGUAUAUAUGUAUUAGAAAGUUACAAAAAAAAUACAAUAUCUCAAUAGUAUACGAAAUUAUCUCACAAAAGGCAUAAUCUGCCACAAAACCUUGCUGCUCCGCGCAGGACUUCUAAGAAAAUUGUUUGACCUAUCUAGAGGUCUCGGAUUCAGCUGAAAUUUUGCAGAGACCUAAUACUCAUAAUGAAGUUAUUACUGUAAACAUUUCAAGUCAUUUGGACCACAGGAACACUCCCGAAAAUACCUUACAAGGUACUGUCCUGUACAGCAAAACUAACAGCAAACCUUCUUCAUCUCAACUCAACAUUUAACUCAUAUUUUUAUCAAAUAAAAGCUAUAGUAACUCAAAUACAUCAUCUUAAUAUACAUUAGCAUGCUUUAACUUUAAACUGUACUCAUGUUUAACACCUCAACAUAGGCAACAAGUUAUAACAUAACAAUUCUCCAUGCAUUCAUCUAAGCCCAAUUAUAACUACUAUUUUUCUUAUUAAAUAAACUAACAUUAAAAAGAAAUAAUAAGCUGGAAUAUUCUUUUCUCUCCUCACCUGCGUCUCUCUCUUUCUCUAUGCUCUCUCUUGCCGUUCUUUUCUCUCUCUCUCGUCCGGCGAGCGUGGCGAGGUCGGCGUCUCUCCUUCCUCCUUCUUUCUUCCCUGCUUCCUCCCAAAUUCUAAAAUCCCAAAUUCUAGGGUUUUCUGCCUCCAUUUUCCCCUCGGAAAUCCGCCCCUCCGGCAAGGCCCGCCGUCACCGCCGCUGUCUCCGUCGCACCGCCACCCCUGCCUUAGGUAUGCUCCCCUCGAUCUUCCUCUCUCAACCUCUAUCUCGCUUUCUCCGCCCUCUCUCUCUGCUCUCCCCCUCGAUCUCACUCUCUGUCUCUUUCUCUGCUGUUGGCGGCCACCGCGGACCGCCGUGGCGUUAGGCAGCGCCGGCGGUCGCGGCCGCAAGUCGCACCUUCGUCGCGGUGGCUCGCGGCUACUAUUGUCGCCGUCUUCUUCUUCUUCUCUAUCUAUUCUAUUUGUUUUUCUGAUUUAAAUCUCUUCAUUUCAGAAAUAGGUGCUCUUCAAUGAACAUUGCCGGUGGAAGGCAUUACCGGUCCAACGAAGCUGCCUUAGUUCUCACUGUUGCUGGUGUUUUUAAGUUUGCAGAUUGAGGAAGAAAUGGUCAGAGUGAGAGAGGAGAGAGUUAUGUUGGGUGGAGUCGGUUCUUGAAGUUGCUAAGUCAAGUUUCAAGCAACGUGUUAUUCCAAUAGCUAAUCUGAGUGCUACGUGUUCUUCUUUGUUGGAGUUGAUUUAUCUAACUCCAUAAAUAUCUCACUUGUUAGUUUGUUUGUUUUGCCUUUCUACACGUGUCUUUGUUUGUAGGUGUUUUUUACCUAGUCAAGACUUUGAGAUUUGAAGCUGCAAACAAGGUAGUAAGGAGGAGAGUUUCGGUUGCCAAAAAGAAGGAAGUGGAGAGAAGGAGAGAGAGAAAAGAGGAGCUUGCUGGCAGCUCCUAAAAUCAAGGGAGAAGUGGACCAAAUCCAACAUCUAUCAAGCGUCCACUUCUUCUAUGAUCAAAGCCACGACUUCAAGCCUUGGGAAGCAAGAUUGAGAAGCCUAUAUAUACCAAGGAGAAGUCUCAGUUCAGAUCACGAACUCAGAGAGAAGAAAUCAAGCUUUAGAGUGAUCUGUGUUGGAGUGAUGUUUCUUGUGUUAGGACAACAUUAGCUAUAGCAUUCUUUGUUUUGUUGGAUUUCGGAGUAUAGCUCUUGAAUCCAGUUUGUGUUUGUUAGUGAGA
rnacentral:lncRNA from 1 species